UACGAAGGGGGCUAGCGUUGCUCGGAAUUACUGGGCGUAACGGGCGCGUAGGCGGGUCGUUUAGUUAGAGGUGAAAGCCCAGGGCUCAACCCUGGAAUUGCCUUUAAUACUGGCGGCCUUGAGUAUGGCAGAGGUGUGUGGAACUCCGAGUGUAGAGGUGAAAUUCGUAGAUAUUCGGAAGAACACCAGUGGCGAAGGCGACACACUGGGCCAUUACUGACGCUGAGGCGCGAAAGCGUGGGGAGCAAACAGG
rnacentral:rRNA from 1 species